CUAAGAAUAUUGGGCAAUGGGGGGAAACCCUGACCCAGCCAUGCCGCGUGAAUGAAGAAGGCCUUCGGUUGUAAGUUCUUUAGUCGUGAAGAUGAUGACAGUAACGACAGAAAAAGCACCGGCUAACUUCGUGCCAGCAGCCGCGGUAAUACGAAGGGUGCAAGCGUUGUUCGGAUUUACUGGGCGUAAAGCGUCCGUAGGUGGUUUGUUAAGUCAGGGGUGAAAUCCCAGGGCCCAACCCUGGAACUGCCUUUGAUACUGGCAAGCUGGAGCAUGAUAGAGGAAGAUGGAAUAUCUGGUGUAGGGGUGAAAUCCGUAGAUAUCAGAUGGAACACCAAUGGCGAAGGCAGUCUUCUGGAUCAUUGCUGACACUGAGGGACGAAAGCGUGGGUAGCAAACAGAAUUAGAU
rnacentral:rRNA from 1 species